rnacentral:rRNA from 1 species
AGUGAACGCUGGCGGUAGGCCUAACACAUGCAAGUCGAACGGCAGCACAGUAAGAGCUUGCUCUUACGGGUGGCGAGUGGCGGACGGGUGAGGAAUACAUCGGAAUCUACUUUUUCGUGGGGGAUAACGUAGGGAAACUUACGCUAAUACCGCAUACGACCUACGGGUGAAAGCAGGGGAUCUUCGGACCUUGCGCGAUUGAAUGAGCCGAUGUCGGAUUAGCUAGUUGGCGGGGUAAAGGCCCACCAAGGCGACGAUCCGUAGCUGGUCUGAGAGGAUGAUCAGCCACACUGGAACUGAGACACGGUCCAGACUCCUACGGGAGGCAGCAGUGGGGAAUAUUGGACAAUGGGCGCAAGCCUGAUCCAGCCAUACCGCGUGGGUGAAGAAGGCCUUCGGGUUGUAAAGCCCUUUCGUUGGGAAAGAAAAGCAGCAGGUUAAUACCCCGCUGUUCUGACGGUACCCAAAAAAUAAGCACCGGCUAACUUCGUG